rnacentral:rRNA from 1 species
UACGUAAGUGGCGAGCGUUAUCCGGAAUUACUGGGCGUAAAGCGUGCGCAGGCGGUUUUGUAAGACAGAUGUGAAAUCCCCGGGCUCAACCUGGGACCUGCAUUUGUGACUGCAUCGCUAGAGUACGGCAGAGGGGGAUGGAAUUCCGCGUGUAGCAGUGAAAUGCGUAGAGAUGCGGAGGAACACCGAUGGCGAAGGCAGCCCCCUGGGCCGACAUUGACGCUCAGGCACGAAAGCGUGGGGAGCAAACAGG